UGCAAUCGAGCGGCAGCGCGGGGGCAACCCUGGCGGCGAGCGGCGAACGGGUGAGUAAUGCAUCGGAACGUAUCCCGUAGUGGGGGACAACGCCGGGAAACCGGCGCUAAUACCGCAUAUGCUCUACGGAGGAAAGUGGGGGACUCGCAAGGGCCUCACGCUAUGGGAGCGGCCGAUGUCCGAUUAGCUAGUUGGUGAGGUAAAGGCUUACCAAGGCGACGAUCGGUAGCUGGUCUGAGAGGAUGAUCAGCCACACUGGGACUGAGACACGGCCCAGACUCCUACGGGAGGCAGCAGUGGGGAAUUUUGGACAACGGGGGCAACCCUGAUCCAGCCAUGCCGCGUGAGUGAAGAAGGCCUUCGGGUUGUAAAGCUCUUUUGUCCGGGAAGAAAAGGCAUCGCCUAAUAGGAGAUGUUCUUGACGGUACUGGAAGAAUAAGCACCGGCUAACUACGUGCCAGCAGCCGCGGUAAUACGUAGGGUGCGAGCGUUAAUCGGAAUUACUGGGCGUAAAGCGUGCGCAGGCGGUUCGUUAAGUCAGAUGUGAAAGCCCCGGGCUCAACCUGGGAAUGGCAUUUGAGACUGGCGAGCUGGAGUCUGGCAGAGGGGGGUG
rnacentral:rRNA from 1 species